UCAAAUUCUCUCUGAUUUGCUGUUGUAGCUUGUAGGCUCAGAUAGGCUGGAUCUUCUGCCCAAAGGCUAUCAGGUGCUGUGGAAGCUGCAGAUACCUGCUCCGUAGCAUCAGCCUCUGAUCAUGGAGAGAAGGCUCCUGAAGAAGGAAAUGAAAAAGCUUCUGGGAGAUUAUAUUGGCAUCAAACUCCGAGAAAAUGAAUUUGACCCAAAAGGAAGAAGGCAACUCACCCUUCUAGAUGAUAUGGCCCACUAUGACUUGGCCAUCAGUGUUGCUUUGCAGUGGCUUGAUCACUCAGAAGAAUUAACUUGGCUGGAGAAGGAGGAAGUGAAAAAGCCAUUCUGUGGCAAACCUAUAUAUUCAAACCGCAGAGAACGAGAAGCAAUGAUUUUAUCAUCUUAUGCUGGAAUCUUAAUGAACAGCAUCUCAAUUGAAGAAAUCUUUAAAAUUUAUGGGGCUGAUUCUUCUGUCAAUUCAUCCAAGAUAACAAGGGGACAAUUACAUACAGUUCCCAUCACCAGAGUUCUGUGUCCCAUCACCUUCAUAUGGGGUACAGAAGGCGGAAGACCCAGCUUUCAUAAUUGCUUCUCUACUGAAUAUGGACGUUGGUUCGCCGAGCUCCACCUUUCCAGCUCUCCUUGCACCCCUUUGCCAUACUCACAGCACCCAAGGCAGCAGAGUAUGCCCGCAAACAGAGUAUCAAGUCAAGAAGGAAAACAAUGAAUAAAAAUGACACCCAUAACCCUACAAGAGAAGCAAAUGUGGUGGAAUGGAAGUCACCAAAAAACUUAUCUUUGGAUACACAGUCAAAGAACAAAGUCACAUAAACAAUCGAAAUUGCACCAUGGAACUUCACAGUAAAGGCUCUAGGAGAAGAAAAGAAGCAUCUUAAAGCUGUACCUUUUGCCAGCGCUUUUUUCUUUACAGUCAACUACAUUGACGUGUUAUUUCUGAUGUUGUGCUUUCUUUUUUUAGGCAUGUACUUUAUGACUGCAUUAUUAUUUUUUAAAACAUGUAUCUUGAGUUACUUAAUUGUGACUUGGAGACUGUUAACUGGGGAACUUCAAGAACAUAAAUUGUUUCUCUUUCUUUUUUUUUUUUUUUUUACCAGAGUACUGUAAGCUCUGGCUUAUGGUGGUGCAGGGGACUGAAUUUGGGACUUUGGAGCCUCAGGCAUGAGAGUCUUUUUGCAUAACCAUUAUGCUAUCUACCCCUGCCUGAACAUAAAAUAUUUCUAUGUCAAGGCCAACUAACUUUGUACUAACCUUUGUACAAUGUGAAUUUUGCCACCAAAUAUUGCAGAGUGGUAGAGUUGGUGGCAGUUUUCCAAGCUGUCAAUCCAAAUAAUAUAAGUUUGUCAUUGAGUGUGUUCACUAUGUCAUCAUAUGGAAAUACUCAAAAUCAUUUUAAUAAAACACGAGUAGAAUCAUA